rnacentral:rRNA from 1 species
AAGGCUUCAGUACGACCCAGUCAGAACUAUAAGUCUCAAAGCCCCGACGAGUAGGGUGGCGUGCCGGUGCGCGUUGAAGGCCAAGACGUGAGUCAGGCUGGAGCCGCCGGUAGUGCAGAUCUUGGUGGUAGUAGCAAGUACUCUGGUGAACCAACCUGGAGCUGUGAGGUCUGGAUUAGGGUUCCAUGUCAACAGUGAUUGAACAUGGGUGAGUCGAUCCUAAGCCAACUGUGAAAGCAGUGACAUCCCGACAAAGGGGCAUUACGUGCGCUGCACUUGCACCCCCACACACUGCAAAGCUCUCGAGUAUCUCUCUUUCUCUGUGGCGAUAUAAAGUGUCUGGCUGGUACGGGAAAAUGCGCACACACGCUGAUCACUACAAACACGUGUGAGUGUGUGCGCUUGUCUGGUUACGCUCAUAAGCGUUGUUGGUGUCUGUCAAAAAGGAUAUGCAAAAAAGAGAGAGAAACAGAGUUAGUGGGUGAGCGCGAGCAUUUUUCGAUUGCAUGAGCCCCCUGCGUCUGGUUCUAUGUCUGGCGAAAGGGAAUGGGGACUUUGUUCCUUGACCGGUCCCGGCACCCUCGAUUGGCUUUGCCAAUUAAUGGUCCAUGCAAAUGGAACCAGGCCACAGCCGCCGGCAGUCGCCCGAGGAAGAGUUUUCUUUUCUGCUUAACGCACGAGGUCAUCCCUGGAAACAGUUCGGCUGGCGAAAGGGUGCCCCUUGCGGCAGAGCGCCACGACUGUCGUGCGCGUCUCGGUGUUCCUGCCGGUCCGUGAAGACGUGGUCGAGGGGAUUGCUCUUGUAUCAACGAAACGCCCGACAAGUUCGGGACGGACCGUACCCUAUAUCCGCAUCUGGUCUCCAAGGUUCGUAGCCUCUGCAGAGUCAGACACAUGUAGGUAAGGGAAGUCGGCAAACUCGAUCCGUAACUUCGGGAAAAGGAUUGGCUCUGAGGGCCGAGCUGGGCCGGGCCUUGCCUGCAAAGCAGUACCUAUAGUGACCGGAGUUUUAGGAGUGCGAGGGGCUCUAGUAGCUGCUUGUGCGUGUGUGCGUUCGCGCGUGCGCGCGUGUGGGCACGAACGAGUCCACCGCUCCGCUCCAACCACGAACGGCUGUGACGGCAAGGGCUCUGGGCGGGAGCGAUCAAACCGUUGGCCUCCAGCUCGUCUGGUUGGCGGCGGUGCUCCGUCUGACCCAUACGGCUCCAGCGGCUAGCGGCUAACUCAGAACUGUCAUGGACCAAGGGAAUCCGACUGUCUAAUUAAAACAAAGCGUCGUGACGGCCCCUGUUGGGUGUUGACGCGACGUGAUUUCUGCCCAGUGC